rnacentral:tRNA from 1 species
GCCCCCAUAGCCCAAUUGGCAGAGGCGCCCGGCUUAAAACCGGCCCAGUGCGAGUUCGAGUCUCGCUGGGGGCACCA